GCGGGCGUGCUGGAAUUGGUAGACAGGCUACUUUGAGGGGGUAGUGAGGUUUAUCCUCGUGAGGGUUCGAGUCCCUCCGUCCGCA
rnacentral:tRNA from 1 species